rnacentral:rRNA from 1 species
AGAGUUGAUCAUGGCUCAGAACGAACGCUGGCGGCAUGGAUUAGGCAUGCAAGUCGAACGGUGCAGCAAUGCAUAGUGGCGCAAGGGUGAGGAACGCGUGAGUAAUCUGCCCUCAAGUUGGGAACAGCUUCUGGAAACGGAAAUUAAUACCGAAUGUGACCAUUGGAAGGCAUCUUUCAGUGGUUAAAGGCCGCAAGGUCGCUUGAGGAGGGGCUCGCGUCCCAUUAUGCUAGUUGGUGAGGUAACGGCCCACCAAGGCGAAGAUGGGUAGCUGGUCUGAGAGGACGAUCAGCCACACUGGGACUGAGAACUGCCCAGACUCCUACGGGAGGCUGCAGUCGAGAAUUUUGGGCAAUGGACGAAAGUCUGACCCAGCCAAUGCCGCGUGCGGGAUGAAGGUCUUCGGAUUGUAAACCGCUGUCAAGUGGGACGAAACAAAUGACGGUACCGCUGAAGGAAGUCACGGCUAACUACGUGCCAGCCGCUGC